rnacentral:rRNA from 1 species
AUUGAACGCUGGCGGCAGGCCUUACACAUGCAAGUCGAACGCGUGGCGGACAGGUGAGUAAAAUCUGGGAAAAUGCCCGAAGGAGGGGGAUAAAUCCAGGAAAAGGUAGCUAAUACAGCAUACCAUAAGAUGUGCCCAGAUGGGAUUAGCUAGUAGGUGGGGUAACGGCUCACCUCGGCGACGAUCACUAGCUGGUCUGAGAGGAUGACCCGCCACGCUGUAACUGAGACACGGUCCAUACUCCUACGGGAGGCAGCAGUGGGGAAUAUUGGACAAUGGGCGAAAGCCUGAUCCAGCCAUGCCGCGUGUGUGAAGAAGGUCUUCGGGUUGUAAAGCACUUUAGGUAGGGAGGCGUUACCUACAGAAUAAGCACCGGCUAACUUCGUGCCAGCAGCCGCGGUAAUAC